rnacentral:rRNA from 1 species
GUAAGCGCAGCGAUGCGUUGAGCUAACCGGUACUAAUGAACCGUGAGGCUGAACCUUACAACGCCGAAGC